CAGAUAGUAGUUGAUCAAUCGUGUCACGUGAUCCGCCGUAACCUGUCGUUAGAUUUGGUGUCAGUGGAGUAGAAGGAAAAAAAAACGAUAAAUGCGAAGAUUUGAAUUUUGAGAAAGUCUUAAAAGAAUGGUUUACAGUUUUAAAUCUCAAAAUAAAGCAUGUUAUUGGGAAGACAAUUACCAAAAGCAGAAAUAUGAAUUACAGAUUGCAAAUGGAAGUGCACUUGUGCAAACUUUAUUCCACGAUAGACAGACAGAGGCAAAAACAAUCAGAAAGAAUGUCCAG